CCUCCAUGAAGCCUAGUUGCCUGCUGAAUAAGUAAAUAAAUAGAUGAAGCACUGCAUGCAUUAAAUGAAGGUCGCAAGUUGCCUGGAACACGCCGAAUCAGCCCGCGCCCCAGCAGCAAUCCACUGGGCAACCCUUGCCCCCUCUGGCCUCUUCUCUGUACAGCCACCUGGUUCCACACUACAAAGACGCAGAGGACACUGGAUCACCAGACCUCUCUACUGGGUAAGUUGGAGUCAUCUUCACCUCCCAUCAGGAC
rnacentral:lncRNA from 1 species